rnacentral:miRNA from 1 species
UAUAGAUCAAUGGCUGAGCGAGCGCGCGGGGGUGCUUGGGGAGUAAUCCCGUCGUGUCCUGACCUAGCACCCCCGCGCGCUCGCUCUCUUAGCCACUGAUCUAUAUA